GCAAAAUAAAGAGAAAAAUGGAGAACAAGAGAAUUCAGCAAUUAGAGGGAGAAGAAAGAAGAUAAAUGAAAAUUAAAACAUACAAAAAAACCCCCAAACCAAACCAAACAAAAAGCCUUAAGCCCCCAAAUACAAAACAAAGUAAAAUUACAAAUGGGUGAAAAAUGAUAAAAAAUAUCAGCAUUUCAGCAUAUAUACACAUAUAUGUGUGUGUGAAAAUACAUAUGAUAUGUAUUUAUCAGCAUAUACAUUUCAUUUUGAUCACUUUUAUCACCUAUUUGUAAUUUUUUUUUGUUUUCUGUGUGUGUGUGUUUCUGUGUUUCUCUCUGUGUGUGUGUGUGUGUGUGUGUGUCUGUGUGACAAACCAAUCAGCACAUCAAGAACACAGAAAUAAUGAAGGAAUGAUAUCUGCUGAGGUGGUCAAAACUGUUAAUAAGAAUAAAUGUUCAGGCCCUUUUGCUUGUUUUUGGACCAUGUACCCCUAAGAUGGAGGGAGGGCUGGGGGUUGUUAAACCCUUCAUCUUUUUUUUUGUUGUUCACCAAGCUGCCAGCUGGAGUGGCCUGGAACCAAAGCUGGUUGUAAUAGCUCUCAGCUUCCCUUUUCACUAGUAUAAGGUGGGAUGAUCAAAUGGGAAGUACAGUCAAGCUUUGUCCGGACAAACCACGGCGGAGCUGAUACAGAAUUCUAAAUGGAAGUUCUAGUGGCUGGGGUUUAGUUCCAAUCAGAUCUUUGGAAUUUGUUGAGUUAUAUCUGCUCAAGAGAGAUCUCUGCUGUGCAUCUGGAUCCAGGGCUCCCCUGAGAACUUAACUCAUAGAAUGAUGCAACCAACCCUCUACAGGUCUUGCAUAAUCCACUGCCCAUGAAUGUGGUCCUCCCAGGAUCAGUACCAAAAUGCAAUUAUGCCCAUCUCUUUGGCUUCUAUAUCUUCCCCUCCCCUACCAAGUGAGAUAUCUCUCUCCAGGUGAGAUACCUAUCUCUCUCUCUCUCUCUCUCUCUCUCUCUUUCACCCUAAAACCUCAUAUUUCUGGGUUUCAUCUGGUCACUGACACUCUAUAUAGUUGCACUCCAGCACCUUCCUAUAGCCCCCCUACCUCAACAUGCAGCUGCACACCUGUUUGAGGGGGGUUCAAUCUCAUGGAGCAUUGCUAAGUGCCUCUAACCUGCCAUCUUCAGGAGCCUCUUAAUUCUUAAAUAGGACUACAUGGAAGGUAUAAAGGACAGAGCUUCGCUACCAGUUCUUGCUCUGUAUACUUAGUUUUUUCUUUUAAUUACCAUGUGCAUGCAUUACAUCCAUAAAAAUAAACAUCAGAAAUAGAAAUAUGUGCUGCAAUUUCCUUUUUAAAAGAGAAUAUAUAGAGAGAAAACACAAUAAGGUACAUAUAUCAUUCAAAUAUUAAUAGCGGUUACCUCUGCCGGGAUAGUAAAAUGCCAGAUUAUAGAAAUUUUGUUAUACGUUCCCAAAUAUACUUAACAUAUUUGGCAUGGCUAAUAAAAACUGUGUAUAAUUUUUAAAAAUAUGUAGGACUUAAAUUUGUUUGUUUUCCAAAGAAUUUGUGAUAUAAGAAAAUGGCUAAGAGAGCUAGAUGACCUUCAAUAACGCAUUUGAUUUCACCAGUGAUUUGUAUAUGACACAUUUAAAUAUACUAUAAAUAUUUAAAAUACAUAUAGAAGUUUCUUUUAAAUACUGUCUGAAACAUUUUAAAUGAUUUAUAUUUCAGUUUUUAUUUGUUGCAUUUGAUUUUUAAACUAUUUUAUCUAUGUUAAUGUUUAUCCAAUUUUAUGUUUAUAAGCAAAACUUUAUCUGGGCUAUAAAAAGCUUCUUAUGGAUGGAUAUUUUUUCAUGAUGCACUUGCCUAUAUGUUGAGGAAUGCAUGUGUAUUUAUGAUAUUUUUAUUCGCACUUUGAAUUCCAAAUAUAGCUAAUUGCAACAUGAUCCUUGUUCUACAAAAUAUUCUUCCCUCCACACACU
rnacentral:lncRNA from 1 species